rnacentral:rRNA from 1 species
CAUUGGCUCAACCAANGUAUGCUUUGGAAACUGUUAGACUUGAGUGCAGAAGGGGAGAGUGGAAUUCCAUGUGUAGCGGUGAAAUGCGUAGAUAUAUGGAGGAACACCGGUGGCGAAAGCGGCUCUCUGGUCUGUCACUGACGCUGAGGCUCGAAAGCGUGGGUAGCGANCAGGAUUAGAUACCCUGGUAGUNCACGCCGUAAACGCUGAGUGCUAGGUGUUAGGUCCUUUCCGGGACUUAGUGCCGACGCUAACGCAUUAAGCACUCCGCCUGGGGAGUACGACCGCAAGGUUGAAACUCAAAGGAAUUGACGGGGGCCCGCACAAGCGGUGGAGCAUGUGGUUUAAUUCGAAGCAACGCGAAGAACCUUACCAGGUCUUGACAUCCCGAUGCCCGCUCUAGAGAUAGAGUUUUUCUUCGGAACAUCGGAGACAGGUGGUGCAUGGUUGUNGNCAGCUCGUGUCGUGAGAUGUUGGGUUAAGUCCCGCAACGAGCGCAACCCUUAUUGUUAGUUGCCAUCAUUAAGUUGGGCACUCUAGCGAGACUGCCGGUAAUAAGCCGGAGGAAGGUGGGGAUGACGUCAAAUCAUCAUGCCCCUUAUGACCUGGGCUACACACGUGCUACAAUGGUUGGUACAACGAGUCGCAAGCCGGUGACGGCAAGCUAAUCUCUGAAAGCCAAUCUCAGUUCGGAUUGUAGGCUGCAACUCGCCUACAUGAAGUCGGAAUCGCUAGUAAUCGCGGAUCAGCACGCCGCGGUGAAUACGUUCCCGGGCCUUGUACACACCGCCCGUCACACCACGAGAGUUUGUAACACCCAAAGUCGGUGAGGUAACCAUUUAUGGGGCCAGCCGCCUAAGGUGGGANGGAUGA